UCAGGCCUAACACAUGCAAGUCGAGCGGCAGCGGGAAAGUAGCUUGCUACUUUUGCCGGCGAGCGGCGGACGGGUGAGUAAUGCCUGGGAAAUUGCCCAGUCGAGGGGGAUAACAGUUGGAAACGACUGCUAAUACCGCAUACGCCCUACGGGGGAAAGCAGGGGACCUUCGGGCCUUGCGCGAUUGGAUAUGCCCAGGUGGGAUUAGCUAGUUGGUGAGGUAAUGGCUCACCAAGGCGACGAUCCCUAGCUGGUCUGAGAGGAUGAUCAGCCACACUGGAACUGAGACACGGUCCAGACUCCUACGGGAGGCAGCAGUGGGGAAUAUUGCACAAUGGGGGAAACCCUGAUGCAGCCAUGCCGCGUGUGUGAAGAAGGCCUUCGGGUUGUAAAGCAAUUGCAGCGAGGAGGAAAGGUUGAUGCCUAAUAC
rnacentral:rRNA from 1 species